rnacentral:rRNA from 1 species
UACGGAGGGUGCAAACGUUGUCCGGAAUCACUGGGCGUAAAGCGCAUGUAGGUGGUUUGGUAAGUGAAAGAUUAAAGACCGACGCUUAACGUCGGCACGGUUUUUCAUACUGCCAGACUGGAGUAUGACAGGGGUAAGCGGAACUUUAGGUGUAGGAGUGAAAUCCGUAGAUAUCUAAAGGAACACCAAUGGCGAAGGCAGCUUACUGGGUCAUUACUGACACUGAGAUGGCGAAAAGUGUGGGGAGCAAACGGG